rnacentral:rRNA from 1 species
AGAGUUUGAUCCUGGCUCAGAGCGAACGCUGGCGGCAGGCCUAACACAUGCAAGUCGAGCGGGCACCUUCGGGUGUCAGCGGCAGACGGGUGAGUAACGCGUGGGAACGUGCCCUUUGGUUCGGAACAACUCCGGGAAACUGGAGCUAAUACCGGAUAAGCCCUUCGGGGGAAAGAUUUAUCGCCAAAGGAUCGGCCCGCGUCUGAUUAGCUAGUUGGUAGGGUAAUGGCCUACCAAGGCGACGAUCAGUAGCUGGUCUGAGAGGAUGAUCAGCCACAUUGGGACUGAGACACGGCCCAAACUCCUACGGGAGGCAGCAGUGGGGAAUAUUGGACAAUGGGCGCAAGCCUGAUCCAGCCAUGCCGCGUGAGUGAUGAAGGCCUUAGGGUUGUAAAGCUCUUUCGUCCGGGACGAUAAUGACGGUACCGGAAGAAGAAGCCCCGGCUAACUUCGUGCCAGCAGCCGCGGUAAUACGAAGGGGGCUAGCGUUGUUCGGAAUCACUGGGCGUAAAGGGCGCGUAGGCGGCCUGAUAAGUCGGGGGUGAAAGCCUGUGGCUCAACCACAGAAUUGCCUUCGAUACUGUCGGGCUUGAGACCGGAAGAGGUAAGUGGAACUGCGAGUGUAGAGGUGAAAUUCGUAGAUAUUCGCAAGAACACCAGUGGCGAAGGCGGCUUACUGGUCCGGUUCUGACGCUGAGGCGCGAAAGCGUGGGGAGCAAACAGGAUUAGAUACCCUAGUAGUCC